GCCUGGGUGGCUCAGUUGGCUGAGCAUCUGACUUCAGAUCAGCUCAAGUCGUGAUCUCUCGGUUCGUGGGUUCCAGCCCCACGUCAGGCU
rnacentral:tRNA from 1 species